ACAUGGACCCAGACUGAUAGCUGGGAAACCAGCAUAGGACAGAACCAGAAGCCCUGAAUGUCUGUGAUGUUCAAACAGUGAAAACUGUCUCCUGAAAGAAAGACUCAUAUUCAUGUGUGUGGGUAGCCGUCAUAAGACCACUGCCAUCAACCCCCAAACCCACUCCAGCAUCCGUAUUUCCCACAGAGACCUUGCCACCCUCACCAGUGCUUCCUAGCCUGGCUGAGUACACAUACCCAGUGUGCCAUACAUAUUCAAACUGACCAGGAUGUAUAGAAGUGGGGCUGGAUGCCUACUGAUCAGCUUCUCUGUGUAACUGAACUGUUAUCUGAACGCAUAAGCUGUGGAGAUGAUUUCCACCAUGUGAGACAAGACUGAAGAACAAAGCAGCAAGAAGAAAGAACUAGCAGGCAGGCUGGGGUUCCAACAGUUUCCUUAUUUUCUGGGGUGAUCAGAGACUCCAAUAAAGGUUUAUGAUAACCGUC